rnacentral:sRNA from 1 species
UGAAAGUGUAAUUGUAAAGUGAAGCAUCUCUCUGAUUCUUUCCAAGAUAGGUUUAAAAACUAUGAAUCCAUUUGCAGUAUUUUCUUCUCUGUUUGAAACAGUUUGAGGAUGUGUUUCUUUUUCUUGGCUUGAUGUUUGAUAGGUCCUUGAGUGGGCAAGAGGGCACAUCAAGUACGGCGUCCUCCACAUUCACGGCCUCUACACAGACCCCUGCGGGAUGGUGCUCGACCCAUCGGGGUAUAAAGACGUCACUCAAGACGCAGAAGUCAUGGAAGUCCUCCAGAACUUAUACCGCACCAAGUCCUUUCUGUUUGUGGGCUGUGGAGAGACCCUUCGUGAUCAGAUAUUCCAGGCCCUCUUUCUUUACUCAGUGCCGAAUAAGGUGGAUUUGGAGCACUACAUGCUUGUGCUGAAGGAGAAUGAAGACCAUUUCUUUAAGCAUCAGGCAGAUAUGCUUCUGCACGGAAUCAAAGUUGUAUCUUAUGGGGACUGUUUUGACCAUUUUCCAGGAUAUGUGCAAGACCUUGCCACUCAGAUCUGCAAACAGCAAAGCCCAGAUGCUGAUCGCGUGGACAGCACCACAUUAUUGGGUCAUGCGUGCCAGGACUGUGCAAAGAGGAAGUUAGAAGAGAAUGGAAUUGAAGUUUCAAAAAAACUCAGACAGUCAGAUGCU